rnacentral:rRNA from 1 species
AGUGGCAGACGGGUGAGUAAUGUAUAGGAAUCUACCUAGUAGUACGGAAUAAUUGUUGGAAACGGCAACUAAUACCGUAUACGCCCUACGGGGGAAAGAUUUAUCGCUAUUAGAUGAGCCUAUAUUAGAUUAGCUAGUUGGUAAGGUAAUGGCUUACCAAGGCAAUGAUCUAUAGCUGAUCUGAGAGGAUGAUCAGCCACACUGGAACUGAGAUACGGUCCAGACUCCUACGGGAGGCAGCAGUGGGGAAUAUUGGACAAUGGGCGAAAGCCUGAUCCAGCCAUGCCGCAUGAGUGAAGAAGGCCUUUGGGUUGUAAAGCUCUUUCGGUGAGGAAGAUAAUGACGGUACUCACAGAAGAAGUCCUGGCUAACUCCGUGCCAGCAGCCGCGGUAAUACGGAGAGGGCUAGCGUUAUUCGGAAUUAUUGGGCGUAAAGAGCGCGUAGGCUGGUUAGUAAGUUAAAAGUGAAAUCCCAAAGCUCAACUUUGGAAUUGCUUUUAAAACUGCUAACCUAGAGAUUGAAAGAGGAUAGAGGAAUUCCUAGUGUAGAGGUGAAAUUCGUAAAUAUUANGAGGAACACCAGUGGCGAANGCGUCUAUCUGGUUCAAAUCUGACGCUGNNNGCGAAGG